CAGCAGCCACGGUAAUACGAAGGGUGCAAGCGUUAAUCGGAAUUACUGGGCGUAAAGCGUGCGUAGGCGGUUUGUUAAGACAGAUGUGAAAUCCCCGGGCUUAACCUGGGAACUGCAUUUGUGACUGGCAAGCUAGAGUCUAGCAGAGGGGGGUGGAAUUCCGCGUGUAGCAGUGAAAUGCGUAGAUAUGCGGAGGAACACCGAUGGCGAAGGCAGCCCCCUGGGCCAACACUGACGCUCAUGCACGAAAGCGUGGGGAGCAAACAGGAUUAGAUACCCCCGUAGUCCCUGUCUCUUAUAC
rnacentral:rRNA from 1 species